AAAUAGCCGCAGUAUUUUGACUGUGCGAAUGUAGCAUAAUCAUUUGUCUUUUAAUUGAAUGUUUAUAUGAAUUGUUAGAUGAGGGAAUAGCUUAUAUUAUAAUAGAUUAUUAAAUUUCAUUGUCACCUUAACAAGCUUAAAUAUUUAUAUUAAAAGAGAAGACCCUAUAAAAUUUUAAUAAUAUUUUUUUAAUUUUAUCUAUAGGUUAAUACUCUUAUUAAUAAUUUAUUUAUCUUUUUAACUAAAAAAUUAGAUUUAAUUAACUCACAUAAUAUAAUAUAUUAAAUAUAAAUAUAUUUAAGAUCCUAUAUUAAGGAUAAUUAGAUUAAACUACCUUAGGGAUAACAGCGUAAUUUCUUUGGAUAGUUCUUAUCAAUAAUGAAGUUUGCGAGCUCGAUGUUUGAUUAAAAUUAGAUUUAA
rnacentral:rRNA from 1 species